rnacentral:lncRNA from 1 species
GGCAAUUUAACCUUCAAGACUUCUUUCAUUACCCUGGAAGUGGCAUGCAUUAUUUAAAUUGUGUUAAUUUUUUUUUGGCUUCUUUCAAUCAAUUUUGUCAUGUGAAGACAGUGAAGUUCAGUUUGGAUUUAACCUUUUUUUAAAGAUAUCAGUUCCUUCUUCCAUUCUUAUUAAGAAACUAAUUUCAAUAAAAUAAUAAUUAUUAUUAUUAGUUUAUUACAUUAAGCUUAUGGACUUCUGAAGUGAUUAUGAAAUUUUGCUUUCGGAAUAUAGGUGAACUAUUUCAACAUAUAUGUCCGCAAGUCGAACACAACUGAUGGUGGUAUAUCUUGCAACAGGAGGCACUUUCUUCUUAAAAAGCAGUAAGGGGUGUAAGGGGUAACAUUUUCUUCAAUGAUGUUGACAUUGUUAAUUUGAGUUAGAUUUUGAAAUUUGAUUGUUAUUCCAUUGCGCUUUCUCUUCUAUUCAAGUGUUUAGUUAAAGGAAAGCCAUACAUUAUCGCCGUUGAGGACCCACAGAUGGCCUUAUAAGUUUUCAUACAUUUUAAUUUCUGCUACUCAACGGGUCACAAUCAUUGGAUAUGUUUCUAAGCACAGGAUUAAUGUUGCUGUAUCAUUUUGUGUUUUCCUUUUCUUUUUCCCUUUCUAUUUAUUGUAUAGUUUGUGCUUCUACAUUUAGAUACUUGAAACUAUAUGAUCCCAAUGUGGGAGGAAAAAACAAGAUAAGAGCAUCCUUAACAGGUUAUUAUAUCAUGUAAAUAUUCACAUACAUAUUUGUUCUGACAAUUGACAACAGGAUCCAAAUAAUGGAAUAGGGAAAAACUCCUAUAAUUAUUUUUAGGUAAGAUUCUUCAUGAAGUCUAUAAUUUUUUACUCUACUUUUCCUUGCGUCAUAAUACCAUUUUUUUCCUCCUCUACUUUGCUUCACUUCCUAAAUCCUCCAACUAUUUGUAUAUUGAAGUGAAAGAGGAAUGAAAACAGCAUUUAAUGAUUUUUGGAUGUACAAAUCUGGGCUUAACAAAAUGUGUGAAUUCUUGAAUAACAAAUUGAUCUUUUCCCUCUUUUAGAUGUUUGGCUAAGUUUAAAAAAAGUACCUGUACACGUGAAAAUUCAAAUUUUAAUCUAGUGGUUUGAAGUCUUGUCCCUCUUUGUAGUCAAAAAAUGUUAAUUAUGGUAUUCCUAUUUUUUAAUUUACAUUUUAAUCUCUUUUUGUAUUUUUUCUUGUUUUUACUGUUUUAAGGAUAAUUCAGACUGGAAUUUGCAUAAUUUAUGAAUUUAUCUGCUUAUUCAUGAAGUUUGUACGUGGUUGUCCAAUGUUGGGGGGUUGAAGUUCCAAAGGACGAGAAC